rnacentral:rRNA from 1 species
CAGAACGAACGCUGGCGGCAUGCCUAACACAUGCAAGUCGAACGAGACCCUCGGGUCUAGUGGCGCACGGGUGCGUAACGCGUGGGAAUCUGCCCCUCGGUUGGGAAUAACACAGAGAAAUUUGUGCUAAUACCUUAUAAUGUCUUCGGACCAAAGAUUUAUCGCCGAGGGAUGAGCCCGCGUAGGAUUAGGUAGUUGGUGGGGUAAUGGCCUACCAAGCCGACGAUCCUUAGCUGGUCUGAGAGGAUGAUCAGCCACACUGGGACUGAGACACGGCCCAGACUCCUACGGGAGGCAGCAGUGGGGAAUAUUGGACAAUGGGCGAAAGCCUGAUCCAAGCAAUGCCGCGUGAGUGAUGAAGGCCUUAGGGUUGUAAAGCUCUUUUACCCGGGAUGAUAAUGACAGUACCGGGAGAAUAAGCUCCGGCUAACUCCGUGCCAGCAGCCGC